ensembl:snRNA U6 U6 spliceosomal RNA
GUACUCGAUUUAUCAGCACAUAUACUAAAAUUAUAACUAUCAGUGAAGAAUAAAAUGGGCCCUGUUCAAGGAUGACAUGCAAAUUCAUGAAGCGUUCCAUAUUUUU